UACGGUUUACGCUUGCUGACGUACUUAGCGCCUAGCUUACCAGCUUUUACCCUAAAUAGCUCCUUGCGGUUACCAGCUUCAGGCACUCCCAGCUUCCAUGGCUUGACGGGCCGGUGUGUACAAGGCCCGGGAACGUAUUCACCGCGCCAUGGCUGAUGCGCGAUUACUAGCGAUUCCAGCUUCAUGGAGUCAAGUUGCAGACUCCAAUCCGAACUGAGACGAGCUUUAGAGAUUAGCAUCCUGUCACCAGGUAACUGCCCUUUGUACUCGCCAUUGUAGCACGUGUGUAACCCACGGCGUAAGGGCCGUGAUGAUUUGACGUCAUCCCCACCUUCCUCACGGUUUGCACCGGCAGUUUCUUUAGAGUCCUCAGCAUUACCUGCUAGCAACUAAAGAUACGGGUUGCGCUCGUUGCGGGACUUAACCCAACACCUCACGGCACGAGCUGACGACAACCAUGCACCACCUUGUAAAUUGACCGAAGAAAGUCCCGUUUCUCAGACGGUCACUCUACAUUUAAGCCCUGGCCACGUUCCUCGUGUAUCAUCGAAUUCAACCACAUGCUCCCCCGCUUGUGCGGGCCCCCGACAAUUCCUUUGAGUAUCAACCCUGCCAUCUUACUCCCCACGUGGAUCACUUAACACCUUCCCUUAUUCACUGACAUUGUAUCCCCCACCACCAGUGAUCCUAAAUUACGGC
rnacentral:rRNA from 1 species